ACCUGGGUGGCUCAGUUGGUUAAGCAUCGAACUCUUGGUUUUGGCUCAAGUCAUGAUCUUGGGGUCCUGAGAUAGAUCCCUGCUGAGGCACCAUGCUCAGCUGGGAGUCUGCUGUUUGAGAUUCUCUCUCCCUCUGCCCCUCCCUUCUCCACUCUCUCUCUCCCUUUCUCCAAAUAAAUAAAUAAAUCUUUAAAAAAAAGUACUCGUCUGAAACUAGAAUUUUGAGUCUUAAUUAAUUUAUUGGUUUUGCUUUUUAUUUCUACCAGCAAGCUGACUCAUCUGUGAAGUAUGAAUAUUUUAAAUCAAGUAAAUGUUUUCUAAAGACUGAGGAUCACUUGUUUAAGCAGGCAGAAGGUAAUCAGAGGGGUCCAGGUCCAAUGAGAGAAUGCUGCAACAAAGAACUGAAUUCUAAGAACAUAGCUUCAUUACCUUUGUUUGGCUACCUGACUUCAAAGUGCCCAACCUGCUGGACAACAUUCCUGACUCAUUCUGGAUGCUUUGAAUGUGAUUAGGCACGUCAGAUGGACCCUUGGCAAUGACAGGCAUUGAUGGGUGAUGUGAAACUCCAUCCCCUAAUAAGCAUGUGGACAAGGAACCUUGAUGAGGGAGAUACCCAAGUGCAUAUGUUAUCCACACCGAGGAGAGCUGAAAACUCCAAAAACUCCAAAGCAUGACUUAAAGAAGGAAAUCACCUGUGAAGACAGUAGCUCUUUCUUUCUGCUAUCUUACUGUUUUGACCAAAAUGUUGCCUGGAGAAAGCAGGUCCUACACCAAGUUUGGAUGUAGAAGAUGAGAGAGGGAGCUGGUUGUGCUUCUCACCACUGUGUCAAGCCCCAGACGCCCAGAUGGAUAUUCUGCUGCCUGUAGGAGUACUCAUUAAAGACCUAGUCAACAAGCUUCUUGACUCACAGGCUGCUAUGUUGUCGCUGGGGUUUGAUUUUUUCCCCCUCUCGUUCUUUUAUUAUUUCCUUGGCACCUCUAAUAUUGUGUUUAAGAUCAUCUAAGACUGAGACAGAAUGAUGCGUGAUGUGAGGAAAUUGGAACCGAAUGUCUUUACUGUACCGGCACAUGUGCCACACAUUUCUAAAGCUGACAGGCUUAUCUAAAGAGCCUAUUUUUCCAGGUCAUAGCAUAUUCCUUUAACCCUUGAGGUCUCUCCUUGUCUCUUCCCAAUACAAAAAUGUCAGAAGAACACUAAAAAAUGGCCUUAAUAGUUGCAUUCAUAUCAGCUUGAAUAUCUCAAUGAAGGCUUUCGACAAGAGCAGGUGCACCAAACAAAACAUGUACCUAAAGGUUCUAAUUCUACUAUUUCUUGCUCUCCUAUGCACAACUUUCCUGGCCUUGGAAACAUGGAUAUCAUCCUCAUCUUUAUCAGAAAUAUAUCAUAAAGCUGAGUUUAGAUAAGGAUGGGUGAGGAUAGAUGUGGUGUCAUAAGAAAUUCUGAACAGUCCACUCCGGUGGGAUGGGGAGUGAAUUUAUCAGAGUGUCAACCACACUUGUUAAGCUUUGUACAAAAUGAGUAACAAAAUUCUAGAAGCAGAAAACAGUUUCUGUGCAGACAAACUUUAGGUUCUUUUUCCCUAAUUCAUACUUCAAAUGGUAGUUUAUAUCAUUGCGUAGUCUGGAGAUCCUUCCCUUCUCUAACUUCAAACAGACUAAGAAGCGCAUUUUAAAAUUUUCUCUUAAAUUUUUAUUUUUUAAAGAACACUUGUUUUCAAAUGAGGAAGGAAGUUAUCACUUGUGUAAAUGACCUUUGAGGGUUCUCAAUACCAGAGAAACUAAGAGGUUGAAGGACGGUUGGAAGCAAUGAAUGGAAGGAGGAGGUACAUUAAGAAAUAAAAAUCCAUAUAUAUGUAUAUGUAUAUAUAUG
rnacentral:lncRNA from 12 species